rnacentral:rRNA from 1 species
UCUGGUAUGAAAGGUUUGACGAGAUAUUAACUGUUUCAUAAUAAUUUAUAAUAGAAUUUUAUUUUUUAGUCAAAAAGCUAAAAUAUAUUUAAAAGACGAGAAGACCCUAUAAAUCUUUAUAUUUAGAUUAUUAUAAUUUUAUAGAUUUUUUUUAUUAUAAUAAUCAAUGAUAUUUUAUUGGGGUGAUAUUAAAAUUUAAUAAACUUUUAAUUGUUAAAAUCAUUAAUUUAUGAAUAAUUGAUCCGUUAUUAGCGAUUAAAAAAAUAAGUUACCUUAGGGAUAACAGCGA